GUGAAAAUCCCUCAGCUGUUUCCAAACAAUGCAGUGACGGCUGGCCACCUGAUCACGUGACCUUCGCGUUCCAUUCUUUCUACGGAAGCCUGUAGGAGCCGGAUUGGCCCUGCAGACAAAGGACCGCAAACCGUUCUGUCUUGUCUUGAAAUGUAACUAAUUUAUAAACGUGUGCUUCGCCUGCGCAUGUCCACAAAAUAAGGAAAAUGAUUGAUGGUGGCCGCUGGGAGCAGGAUUGCCUGGAAGACAGCAUCCAGUCGGACGGAUCGACGCCUGGAGACAAAACCUCUGGAAGACGGAAUAAGUCCUCCAACAUCUUCUUCAUGGAGACCGGUCCUGGAAAUCACGUCCCUCAGGCCGGCUGCAUGAUCCUGGAGCCCACCAUCAUUGCAGAUGUAAAACAGAUACCGGUGUUUAAAGAAGAAGCCCCAGAAGAUGAAAAAGCUAAUGCAGACCUGUGUGACCUUAAGCUCUACCACAUAAAGGAGGAAGAGGAGAGAGUCUGUAUCAGUCUGGGGGUAGAGCUGAGAAAUGUAAAGGAGGAGAGAGAAAGUGCCAUAAAAAGUGAUGAUGAACAGUCCCCUCUGUUCUCACAGCUUCAUCAAGACCAAAUUAAAGACAGAGAACCUCCAGAAGAAAACGAUGGACGAGAAUCCAUCAAGACAGAAGAUUAUGGAGAUGAUUCCAACUUCUUAGCGUCUGAAGACAUCAAGAAGGAUGAAGAGGAUGAUGAUGCAAAGCAUCCCGUCUCUGAGAUGAAACACUUGGACUAUGGACUGAAAACUGAGGAUAUGGAUAAUAACUGGAAGGAAAGCAGAACCUCUGAGUCAGAUGGAAACCAAGCAAACAAACCAGAUUCAGAAGUAGAGUCUCCAUGCUCGUUGGAUAUAAAGAAAUGUGCUACAGAGCACAAAAAUGUUGACUCACGAAGGAAGGUCCCAACUGGAGAGAAGUUUAACUGUGAAGACUGUGGAAAAACAUUUAUUAGAAAACAGAAUUUAAGCAGGCACAUGAGAAGCCACACAGGCCAGAAACCUUUCUGUUGUGAUCUCUGUGGACACAGAUUUAGCGAAAAAUCAUAUUUAACCGCACACAUGAGAAUCCACACAGGUCAGAAACCUUUCUGUUGUGAUAUCUGUGGACACAGAUUUAACCAAAGAGCACAUUUAAUUAUGCACAUGAGAAUCCACACAGGACAUAAACCUUUCUGUUGUGAUAUCUGUGGACAUAGAUUUAGCCAAAAAGCAAAUUUAAUUAUGCACAUGAGAAUCCACACGGGAGAGAAACCUUUCUGUUGUGAUAUCUGUGGACAUAGAUUUAGCCAAAAAUCAUAUUUAACCAGACACUUGAUAAUCCACACAGGACAGAAACCUUUUUGUUGUGAUAUUUGUGGACAUAGAUUUACCAAAAAAGCACAAUUAAUCUCACACAUGGAGAUCCACACACGACAGAAGCCUUUCUGUUGUGAUGUAUGUGGACACAGAUUUAGCUAUAAAUCGUACUUAAAGACACACAUGAGAAUCCAUACAGGACAAAAACCGUUCUGUUGUGAUAUUUGUGGACACAGAUUCUUCCAAAAAGCCAAUUUAAACAGACACACGGUGAUCCACACGGGACAGAAACCUUUCUGUUGUGACCUCUGUGGACAUAGAUUUUUCCAUAAAUCACAGUUAAACACACACAUGAGAAUCCACACAGGACAGAAACCGUUCUGUUGUAAUAUCUGUGGACAUAGAUGUAACCGAAAAACACUUUUAAACAGACACAUGAAAAUCCACACAGGAGAGAAACCUUUCUGUUGUGAGAUCUGUGAGCACAGAUGUAGCCGAAAAUCGCAUUUAGUCAUUCAUAUGAGAAUCCACACAGGAGAGAAACCAUUCUGUUGUGAGAUCUGUGGAUACAAAUUUAGACAUAAAUCAACUUUAAGCACACACAUGAUAAUCCACACAGGAGAGAAAAUAUCUCUAUUAUGACGACUCAAACUGCACAGCUGCUGUUGGCUGUGAAAUAUUUAUGCGUCGUCAUUCAAGGCUACAUCAUUCACUUUCUUUUGAAGAUUCUAUUUAUUGAACAUUUUCAAAGUUAUAACAGUCCUGUACAGUGCACAUGCAACUUAUUUAAGACAUGUAGUAAAUCCUGAGUGCAUCCACAGCGAUGUCCUUAUAAGUAUGUCGUUUCAGACGGUGGUCCUGCGAGUUCUCAGGAACUCCCAACACCCCACCAAGUUUUACUGUAAAAAUGGUUUCCUGAUAUUAAAUCUUAGACUUUCCUGAGAAAUAUAGUGUGAUAUCUAGGAUUUCCACAAAUGUAUUGGGCAAUUUAGAGAGACUCCAGUUGUGUCUUUACUAUACAUGUACACAAAUAUAGAGACAUGUUGUUAGAUAUUACACUAAAUUUAUCUGAAUCCAAAUACUUAUGGAUAAUUUUGAAAGUAAAAGUAAAAUUUGCUCCCAUAUUUCUGUGUUUAUUGAUAUCUUUAGCUGAAUCUCCCAUCAUUUUAUUAGAAUUGGUGGUUUGUAUUCAUCUGUUGUAGCUUGGAGAAAAAAAGGAAAGGAUAGAAAGUGAACUUGUUUGAGACUGUCUAGAAGAGUUUUUUCUUAUCAGUUCAAUCCAUAAAUCACAGUUAAAUCCAGAAACGUGUGUUUCUGGAAUUCCUCUCAAUUUCACCUGGGAUAUAGAGAGGAAUCGUUGUAGUAUGUAAAUAGUGACUGAUCUAAAAGUAUUUAUGACAUUCCUUCAUUUGUAGUUUGUGUGGUCUGUAGGGACUAGCAUGUUUUGAAUUUUUCUCUGUCCCACUUGUGCAUUAAUCAGGUAAAUUGAUAAGAAAAUGCAGUUUGGGAAGGUUGCGUCAGUCUCCAACCAUGGUGCUUUGGGUUCAGCAGUUUCCAAAAUAAAUUAAGUCUGGAUUGUAUUGAGAUUUCAUCUAUUGUUCAGAUUGAGCAGUUCUGGGUGCAUUCCCACCAGCCCUGCUUAGUCUGCUAUAAUCAAACUGUAGUUUAUUUGUCUAUCAGGUCCAGUUUGUUUGGGGUGGUGUGGAUGUGUAACUGAGAAAGCUCUAAACCUUAACCCUAAAAACCUGUCUUGGUUUGGCUCAAGUCGAGUCUGGCGCAGUUUGAACGCUUAUGUGGAUGAAAAGGAGAAGAGUAUUCUGGGUAAAUGGAGCAAAAAUAAGUCUAGUACUACAGGGAGAAAUGGUUUGUGGUCUUUAGCCAGAGACAAAAAAAAAUUCUACAACCACUAAAAUCAAACAGUCUUUCUUCUUUGUUUACAUUUUGUGAAGAAGGAAGUUGUGCUGAUCUUCUUCCGAGGUUUUCCUCAGGAGAAGACCAGCUGUCGUUGUUGGCGCUGCUCCCAAACCGACAAGGGGGAAACAGGUUUCUCAAAAGGUUUGGAUCGUUUGACACACUGUGAAAGCGAACAGAAUCAGGUGAAAAUGUAACAAAUAUUGUUUGGUCUCCAGUCGAACCGGUUUAUCAAGUGUAAAAACACCCAAAGUUCAUGUGUGUCUACACAAGGCGGAUUGUUUCUGUGAUGCCACCAGAUGUCGACGCUACCAUUACCAUCAAAACCAUCCAGUUUGUGGAGCCACUGGUUUCAAGGUGGCAUCAACAAGCAGCUUCCCACUGUGGCUGCUGGUGGGAACAUGGCCAAGAUCCAGAGGGAUGUGUGAAGGCUGUUGCAAAGGCCAAUGAACCAAGGAAGGGUUCCUUGGUUCAUUGGAGUGAUGCAUGGAGGACGGAGAGUUCUCCGAGGCCAGGACGGACAUGGCUGCCCUGAAGAAGGAUUAUGAGGAGGUUGGAAUUGGUUUCAUUGAGGAGGAGGAAGAAGGAGCAGAAUAUUAAAAUGACCUCAAAGUUACCUGAAGAAAGUUCUGUGUAAAGUUAUAACACAGAAGUUUCUUAACAUGGCGUUUCAAUUUAGAGGAAUUUUUAAAUGUUUGCAUCACAACCAAAUUUUGGAUGAAUGUUUAUGGUUUGAAAAUAAUUAUUUAUGUUUGAACUUUACAUUCCAUUGUGUGGUAAGAAAACUAUUUUGUCUUUGGUUAUCCAAUACAUGUCUGUGAAUCUAUAGAAAAUUACUUAAAAUCUGUUCAGCUAUGAUGUGAAUACUCUAUUCCUGUUUGUGUGAUUACAUUGACUCUGGAAAAAAUUGAAAAUGUGAUCUUGUGCCCGUUAACAGGCGUCUGUAAUGUUCUGCAGUGCUUAUGUGUUGAUUAGAGUUGAGUCUAAAUCCUGUGGAUCCAGGAGGCCUGAGGGCUGCAGGCUGUUCUGCUUUACUUGGAUGAGAUGUUGGAGGUCUUUGCUUUCUUGAUGAGAACUGGGUCGAGCCUUUAGA